rnacentral:tRNA from 1 species
GCGGCUGCAUGUGGGAAGAGGCUACUGCCCUCCGAAGGCAGGGGUUGCUGGUUCGAUCCCAGCCGGGCGCGCCA